rnacentral:lncRNA from 1 species
CGCCGGCGCUGCCGGUGCCGCGGCCGCCGCCCUUCCCUCGGCCCCGUUCUGACAGGAAGCCGCCGGGGAGGUGCGGAGGCGGUGUAAGGCCGGCCGGGCGCGGCCUGACGCCGGAGCGGGUGGUCCCGGAGAGGGCGGGCGGCGGGAGCAGCGGCUGUUCUACUGCAGCUAUGGCUAUGUGGAACGGGCCCGGAAGAGCAAAGGGUUGGGAAGUCCUGACCAAAGGCCAGCUCUGAGGAGGCUGGAAGAAGACCCCUGCCCCGCGUGCCCCGGCAGAACUGCCCUCAUCGGGCCCCUCCGGAGCCUGUUCAGAGCCUUUGCCCACGGCUCCGACCUUUGGAACAAGAAGUUGCACCCGUCAGCACCUGCUGAGGGCUUCGUUGAUCAAAAAAAUCAGGGCACCCUUUCAGAUAGGAACAUGGACCUUAUUGGCAUCAUCUUGUAUCCAUGGAAACAUUUUAAGUACCGCUCUCUCAAUAUGUACUUCAGUUAUUCAGGGUUCAAGAGCUGAGUACCAAAUAAUUAAGUGUUUUUAUUACUUUCUAUGUGGAAGCUUCGUUCUUGGGGCUCAUAUCUGUCAUAAUAAAG